CCUACCUGAGCAACAGGUAAAGGUGUCAAGUCACCGGAGCUGCGUGGACAAGCAGGUGCAACCGUUGGAGGAAAAAACUAAGCCAGUGUUAUGGCUGAAUCACAGCUCAUGUGUAUGGACGAUGAUCAUGUCAACGAAAAAAUACCAGAAUCUAAACCCGAAUUUUACUACAGCGAGGAGCAUCGUGCGGCGCUCGAGCAGCUUUUAAAAAACGGCGACGGCGCUUUCAAGAUGCGGUUGAAAGAGGACAACAUCAGGGACUUUCUCUCUGCGCGAGAAGUGAAAUGGAUCCGAAAAAAAUUCAAAGAAUAUGGGACAGACAGUGACUCUGACAGUGAGGAAUACAAAACCGCCGAGUCUAACGCGGACUCGGGGGUCCAGUCCACGUACUGGCCCCAGAUGUCGGACACGGAGGUUCCCCCGCUUGACAUCGGCUGGCCGGGGAACGGUGGGUGCUACAAAGGGGUCACCCGCGUAUCCGUAUACAGUCACCCACCCAAAGAGAACGGCCCGUACAUUAAGGAGGUGGUUCGAAGGCUCAUUCAAGACGCUAAUAAGGUGGUUGCCGUGGUGAUGGACCUCCUGACAGACCUGCAGAUCCUGCAGGACCUCCUGGACGCGGCCUGCAGGAGGGGCGUGGCCGUCUACCUGGUGCUGGAGGACCAGGGAUUACCUCACUUCCUGGACAUGUGCAGUAGGCUGCAGAUCAGUGCCCUUCAUCUGAGGAACAUGCGUGUGCGGACGGUUGAGGGUACAGGUCUGCCUCUGUCCUUCGGCAAGCUGCCGGGCUCACUGUGCUCCAAGUACAUGCUGGUGGACGGGGAGAAGGUUAUGUUUGGCUCGUACAGCUUCACCUGGAGCUCCUCUCGGACGGACCGCAACAAUCACGGUCACCGUCAUGACGGCCAGGUGGUGGACACCUUCGACACCGACUUCCGGGAGCUGUACGCCGUCUCGGCACACGUGGACCUCUACAGAGAGUUCAACAUCAGCCGGCCGCCACUGCCAGCCCCGGCCAGGAAGCUCCCCCAGCAGGCCGCCGCGCCCCUGCCCGUCUCCACCUCACGCUUCCAGGUGGCCCUGGGCGACUCCCGCCAGGCUGACCUCAAGGUCCCCGCUCACAAAUACCACAACCCCAAGUACUCCCUGGUCGUGGGGAACAGCGGGGGGUACACGGGCUCCCUGCAGGACAUGUCCUCCGUGGGGACGGCGGUGAGCGGCCAGACCCCUCGCUAACGGCCUGCCAAAGAAGCAGGGUCUCGCUAACGGGGGCGCUGGGGAGAAGCAGGCCCAGGUGUCUCCUCUGUCCCCCAGCCUAGCAGCACCAGCAGGGGAGGGGGGGGAGGGGAACGGAGGGGGGAGCAAGACCGCGGUGUUCGGCGGCAAGAAGCACGCAGCUCCUUCAGACUCUUCCUGAACGGCCGAGCGACCAAUCAGGGCCCGGAUACCAUAGUGGAGGGAGUGGCCUCCCGUCCGAACCCCUCCCCCACCAGGAAGGGGGCGGAGACCAACGGCGCCGCUUCAGACGAGCUGGAGGACUCGUUCGAGAUCAUCGAGAGGCCGUCGCUACUGAAGCUGAAAGCCAAGAAGCUGUCCAAGCUCACCCAGAGGAGCAUGUCUCUGCAGACCCUCAACGCCGGGGAGGAGGAGGGGAGGAAGAAGAAGAAGAACUGCAUCCAGUCCUGAGAGGCAGACAGGCUGGAGGGCGGACUCUGGGAGGGAGGAGGGGAGGGAGGGAGGGAGA